UGAAGCACAAAUAUAACCUUACUAAUUCAGUUACCCCCACACUGCCUGGGACAGAUAAAAUAGCUGAUGGUUUGGAGAGUAAAACAUCCUUUGGAAAUGAUAGUCCAAAUAUUUCACUAGAUGUGGAAGCUGCUGUUAUGCUGCAGGAUACAUCACCUGGAUAUAGUAUUGACAAUGUUCAAAGGAAGAGGGUAUGUUCAGAAAGCAAGGAAGACAGUCACUGUAAACGCUUCAAAACUGAUGAUGAAAACAAAAAAGAGAAUAUUUGUACAGUGUCAGAGAAAGAGGAAAAAAUUUUGGGAAAGGUCAAACACUUGAUUCAAAAGCGUGUGGAUAUUUUAAACAAUGACGUCUUUAACCAUAAACUGGAAAGUUUAAGUGGAAGAGUUGAUCAAACACAAUGUCGAAAAAAACAUGAAGAAAUAGCUAUUACAUUUCUAGUAAGUGUUUUUGCAUUGUGCAUAUCCU
rnacentral:lncRNA from 1 species